UUAUGACAUAAUUAUGAAGAUAAACAUUGAUCCUCACAUCUGCUCUGUCAAACUAAGCGUAAGUGGUUCACAGUCUGUACCACAGCUAAAUUUAAAAACCUAUAGGUCUAGCCGGGCGCGGUGGCUCACGCCUGUAAUCCCAGCACUUUGGGAGGCCAAGGCGGGCGGAUCACGAGGUCAGGAGAUUGAGACCAUCCUGGCUAACACGGUGAAACCCCGUCUGUACCAAAAGAAUACAAAAAAUUAGCCAGGCAUGGUGGCGAGCUACUCAGGAGGCUGAAGCAGGAGAAUGGCGUGCACCCGGGAGGCGGAGCUUGCAGUGAGCCGAGAUCCCACCACUGCACUUCAACCUGGGCAACAGAGCGAGACUCUGUCUCAAAAAAGUAAACAAAUAAAAACAAAAAAAAG
rnacentral:lncRNA from 1 species